rnacentral:rRNA from 1 species
GACGAACGCUGGCGGCGUGCUUAACACAUGCAAGUCGAACGGAAAGGCCCUGCUUUUGUGGGGUGCUCGAGUGGCGAACGGGUGAGUAACACGUGAGUAACCUGCCCUUGACUUUGGGAUAACUUCAGGAAACUGGGGCUAAUACCGGGUAGGAGCUCCUGCUGCAUGGUGGGGGUUGGAAAGUUUCGGCGGUUGGGGAUGGACUCGCGGCUUAUCAGCUUGUUGGUGGGGUAGUGGCUUACCAAGGCUUUGACGGGUAGCCGGCCUGAGAGGGUGACCGGCCAUAUUGGGACUGAGAUACGGCCCAGACUCCUACGGGAGGCAGCAGUGGGGAAUAUUGCACAAUGGGCGGAAGCCUGAUGCAGCAACGCCGCGUGCGGGAUGACGGCCUUCGGGUUGUAAACCGCUUUCGCCUGUGACGAAGCGUGAGUGACGGUAAUGGGUAAAGAAGCACCGGCUAACUACGUG